rnacentral:lncRNA from 1 species
CUCGCGAUUGGCCGCAUCAGCCUCCAGUGCCCGCCCCCGGCCCGCUGGCCCUGCCCCCGCAGAGGGGAGCAAGUGCUCGCCCGCCUGCGGUGGGUUCGGCUGCGCGGCGGGGCUGAGGCGGCCGCGGUGGCCCUAACGCAGGGAGCGGACACUGGGUUUCUGAACCUCGUCGCUGAAGACGGCCAGGACUUAAGAAGCACAGCUCUCUGGACGACGGGGG